CCUGCGGAAGGAUCAUUAAUGUAUGUAUAAAGCGCCUUACCUUAGGGUUUCCUCUGGGGUAAGUGAUUGCUUCUACACUGUGAAAAUUUGGCUGAGAGACUCAGACUGGUCAUGGGUAGACCUAUCUGGGGUUUGAUCGAUGCCACUCCUGGUUUCAGGAGCACCCUUCAUAAUAAACCUAGAAAUUCAGUAUUAUAAAGUUUAAUAAAAAACAACUUUUAACAAUGGAUCUCUUGGUUCUCGCAUCGAUGAAGAACGUAGCAAAGUGCGAUAACUAGUGUGAAUUGCAUAUUCAGUGAAUCAUCGAGUCUUUGAACGCAGCUUGCACUCUAUGGUUUUUCUAUAGAGUACGCCUGCUUCAGUAUCAUCACAAACCCACACAUAACAUUUGUUUAUGUGGUGAUGGGUCGCAUCGCUGUUUUAUUACAGUGAGCACCUAAAAUGUGUGUGAUUUUCUGUCUGGCUUGCUAGGCAGGAAUAUUACGCUGGUCUCAGGAUCUUUUUUUUUGGUUCGCCCAGGAAGUAAAGUACAAGAGUAUAAUCCAGCAACUUUCAAACUAUGAUCUGAAGUCAGGUGGGAUUACCCGCUGAACUUAAGCAUAUCAA
rnacentral:rRNA from 1 species